UGCGCCGCCUGCGUAUUCCAUGAUGGCGGCUAGUGGGCUGGCUCGAGCGACCUGGCACCAAGACGACAGGCCGUUAACUACUAGCCAGGCAGACUCAGGAAAACCCCGCCGCUUCGACUGACGCCCUUAAAAACCCUUAGCCGAGGCCUUCCGAUUGCACACACCGCCAAACGCACCCUCUUUCUCCGUUGCACGCCGCUCGCCGUUCAAACCGGCUUCGGUUACUGCAAGAUCCUUUUCGAAGUGACACUGCGCAUACUCCGGAUUGCCAGCACUGCGCUUGCGUCCCUCUACUCCCACAUUCCGAAUAGGACACUGUCAUUGCCGCGCGGCAUGCUGGGUAACAGCGCCACCUUUAAAGGCAAAUUCGAUAGUCUGGUAUUCGAUUGAUAUAAAAUCAAUUUCUCUUCAAAAAGAAGAGCACAAGGAAUGUCAGGAGCCCUUCUUUGACAGGAUUAGGGUUUGCGCGAGUUUUCUUGAGGAAAACUGGCAAGCUAAAAAUCGUUGGACGUUUCACUCUGCCUCCCCUGGCAAAACUUAGAUACCUGGUCACCCAAAUAAAGCAGGUGGUUCUCCUGAUUCAAUCCCAUGAAAAUCUAUUGGGCAAUGACGAGGGCUGGAGGAAUCAAAGAUUGGAGGAUCACUGACCAGAAUUAAGUUGAAAGGAUACCAAUGGAAGAUGACUUUGAUAUCCUGUUCAGGAGGAAACCAGGACAAAAGUUGACAGUUCUGAAACAGUAAUAACUUCCACAGCUAACAAGAAUAACAGUGAACUUUAUGAGAUACUGCCAGACCAACUGAGCUUUUCCAGCAACUUCUGUUUUUGCUCUUUGAAUAGGAUGAUGGAUUUCCUUAGACUCUCCAUCUCAGCAUCUCUAGGAGUCUUCCUAUUGCUGUGACUUUGGAGUCUCUUUUGGGCUGUGCUGCUCACCAAAAUGUGUCUAACAGUUAAAGUAUUGAGCAGCAUAAUCAGAACAAAUGAAAUGCCUGGUGUUGUAAUAUGCUGAAUAAAGUAGAUUAUUGUCCAAGUGGUUGAUUCCAUAACAUUGGAUGCUAUAUAACAAAACCAGGGAAAAGUCUGAAUUUAGUGUUUUUUGUAAAUGUAAGCACAAAAUACCAAAAAUGUUUUUUAAACAGCUUAGAGCUGUUAUGUUCCUGGAACUACAGCCACCAUUUUCUCAGUGCAGUAUUCUCAAUUUAUGACAACAUAUGGAUCAAAAGUGAAAGUGAUGAUCAGCCAUACAGAGCAAUUUGUGACUGUAUGAAGUAAGAUGGCAUGGAUGUUGCACACAUUUAAUGGAAAAUUGUAAAAAGAACAGUUUCCGAUAAGCAGUUGGACUCUACCUCAGUAUCAGAUCGAAGAUAAUGACCAACAGCUCUUCUGCUGCCCUGGUGACAAGAUUGUGGAUGAUAUGUUUGGAGAUACCACACUUUCUGUGUGCGAGAAUCACAGUUAGAACUAAAUUAACUGUUAGGAAGGGAAAUAAAGGUGGACAUUAUAUCUCAGACAUUUUGAAGUUUUGCAGGCGCUAUUGAAAUUUGAACAUGUAAUUAUAAUAUUCAGAAUGAAAUGAUAGCUGAGGAAUAACAGCUUAUAAGAGAUCAAAUGAAGUUCACUGCUGAACUAAUAAUUACACAUGCCAAUGAAAAUUGUUUGAGUGUUGAAACCCGAGAACUAAUCCAUUAUUAGAUCAAAUAGUGAUCUCAGUAUAUCUUGGAUAAUGAAAUAAAAGAUUUUAAAAUCCU